AUGCAAGUCGACUGGAAUUCUUCUUCGGAAGAUAGUACGGUGGCGGACGGGUGAGUAACGCGUAAAGAAUUUGCCCUUCAGACUGGGACAACUAAUCGAAAGGUUAGCUAAUACCGGAUAUUAUGAGACCUUGGCAUCAAGGACUUAUGAAAGCUAUAUGCGCUGGAGGAGAACUUUGCGUUCCAUUAGCUAGUUGGUAGGGUAAUGGCCUACCAAGGCGACGAUGGAUAGCCGGCCUGAGAGGGUGAACGGCCACAAGGGGACUGAGACACGGCCCUUACUCCUACGGGAGGCAGCAGUGGGGAAUAUUGGACAAUGGACCAAAAGUCUGAUCCAGCAAUUCUGUGUGCACGAUGAAGGUCUUCGGAUUGUAAAGUGCUUUCAGGUGGGAAGAAGAAAGUGACGGUACCACCAGAAGAAGCGACGGCUAAAUACGUGCCAGCAGCCGCGGUAAUACGUAUGUCGCAAGCGUUAUCCGGAAUUAUUGGGCGUAAAGCGAGUCUAGGCGGCUUGUUAAGUCAGA
rnacentral:rRNA from 1 species